rnacentral:rRNA from 1 species
GACGAACGCUGGCGGCGUGCUUAACACAUGCAAGUCGAACGAAGAGCGACGGAAGCUUGCUUCUAUCAAUCUUAGUGGCGAACGGGUGAGUAACGCGUAAUCAACCUGCCCUUCAGAGGGGGACAACAGUUGGAAACGACUGCUAAUACCGCAUACGAUCUAACCUCGGCAUCGAGGAUAGAUGAAAGGUGGCCUCUACAUGUAAGCUAUCACUGAAGGAGGGGAUUGCGUCUGAUUAGCUAGUUGGAGGGGUAACGGCCCACCAAGGCGAUGAUCAGUAGCCGGUCUGAGAGGAUGAACGGCCACAUUGGGACUGGGACACGGCCCAGACUCCUACGGGAGGCAGCAGUGGGGAAUCUUCCGCAAUGGACGAAAGUCUGACGGAGCAACGCCGCGUGAGUGAUGACGGCCUUCGGGUUGUAAAGCUCUGUUAAUCGGGACGAAAGGCCUUCUUGCGAAUAGUGAGAAGGAUUGACGGUACCGGAAUAGAAAGCCACGGCUAACUACGUG